CAUUUUGUUUUAACGGUUUUAGGCCUGUUUUUCGCUAGCGGUGACUGCGUCCAUAUUUUUUUUCAUAGUCUACGGUCUGAGCAGUUGUGGUAAAGUGAGUUGGUCUGUUUUCGGUAGUUUGCUAUGGCAUUUAUUUAUCAUCAUUAUGGUAAAUUAUUGUGUUUGUGCUGGUUGCACUAACUCCAGCCUGUCAGGACAUCGGGGCCACCGUUUUCCUAACAGGUAAAGGAACGGUGCUAUCUUUGGUCCCUGGGUGCCUUUUGUGCAAGUGAAGAGGCGGGACUUCACUUCGGCAUCUGAUACUAAAAACGCAGUCCUAUUUGGCGCUCAUUUUAGACCAGAGGAUUAUCAGCCUAGCCGUAUGAUGGAGUUCAGGAUGGGAUGCCAAUGCCAGGAGCGGGUGAGACUCAAUGCUGGCGCGGUUCUUUCAAUGCACACAGCGGUUUUAUCAGGUCCGCCAUCAGCAGCAGCUUCUGGUUUUGCCGCUGGCGGGCCUAAUGGUCACGGAUCCGUCAGAGAUUCAGCUCGACGAAAACGUGAACUGUGCACCGAUUUGGGAGAUACUACAGAUGCACCUAUAGCCGGUGCUGCAGUGCAUGUAGACCCAGAUGAAGAGGCAUUCUCUCCACUGGCUCCUCAACCAUCUGUGCUUCACUCUGGCUCACAGUGUAACCUCAAGCCUUUACAUCAUUCAUCAGCUGUCCAGGUACAGCCCACGAUGGUGAGUGCAGGGACUCAGACAGAAAGGUGUGAGAAACGAACAUCAAAUCCACUGGCCAGUGCUGUACACAGCGAUGAUGAAUCCUCCUCUGUUUUCAUUGACGAAGCUGGUGAUAUGUCAUGGAUCCCAGAGGAAGAAAUGAUGCUGCUGAAAAGUUCAUUGUGUGCCAAAGCCAGCUGAUGUCCUUGUUUAACAUUUGCCCUGCCUGUUGUGGAGAAACCCAGGGAAACAGAGAGCAGCAGGAGAGAACUUAUGUAAAAAAUAAAGCAAGUCUGUACAACAUGUGGGCAUGGGCGUUAUUAGCAGAACCAGCUAGUGCUGCACCGAAAAAAUACCUGCCUGCAACCUCUUAUUGAGUGGUGCCAUCCACUUUUCGGGUUGCAUGGCUACCCAGAUCAUAAGAAUGCUGAAGCUGUUUGGGCUUCAGUGCAUCAGUGCCAGCACCUUCUUCCGCCAUCAACGACUUUACACAAUUCCUACCAUCGUACAGGCCUGACAGAAUGAACAGGCAGGGAUUGUCAGAGAUCUGAAUGAGAUGGGGGGUGGGCUGAUCCUCUCUGUUGACUGCAGGUCAGACUCUCCUGGCCAAUAUGGCACCUGCUCUUUGAUCAAGGACAGAAUUAACAAGGUUUGGGAUCUUCAAUUUGUCCAGAGCUCAGAGGUCCCAAAUAGCAUCUGGUGUGAGGUAGAAGGUCUGAAGCGCAGCAUAGAAUUUCUUAAGGAGCAACAGAUGCAACUGUCAGCCCUCAUCACAGACAGAAAUCGGCAGGAUCAGCUGUAGCAGUUAAACUGGAGAGUGUAGCUACUAGAACAGCACUGGUGAAGGAUGUUCGGCAGUUAUCACUCCCUCAUCCUGCACUUUGCGCCAAAGCACACUGGGUUCUCCUUCCUUGGGAUGUACAGCAGUAAGGAAAUGAGUGUUCUCACCUCGAGAACUGCACAUGGUUCACUGUCUUCAAGUUUCAAAUAGGUGGCCGGAUGGCUGAGGGAGCGUGUCCUGCAGGCUGUCAUCCUGCCGCCCAACUCUACUGCGCAGACUCUGGCUCCAAAUGAUGUCACACAAACAAGAUGGCAGCCCCCGGAAAGGAGAUAUUUUGGCUUCACUUUUGUGUAGCGGUAGGAAGUGGAGACACGUCAUCCAUAUUUAUAUACGAUGUACGAUUCUGACCUGUAACCUACAGAAAAAAAUAGUUUAUGUUGGAGAGGGCAAAUUCUCAUUGUUGUGUUAUUAAUGUUGUAAAGUUCUAAAAUGCAAGAUGGCAUCACAAUUUAGUUGCAGCAUUUUUGUCAUCACAAACACACACACAGCCAUGUGAGGGAAGAGGAUGACUGUAGUUAUGUGUGCGCUCUGAUGUAUGUUUGUAUUAAGAUGAAAGAGAUCUAUUAACCACUUCAAAAACUUUAAGUAGCCAAGCAUUGAUGAAAUCAAAGAACUUCAGAUGAUCCCAAAUUUAUCAAAUAAACACAAAUGCAUGAGGUAGAAUUUGCGGGAAAUGUUUAUACAGAGUUGCACAAGACAAAUAUUUUUCCAUUCGAUAAUAGCGCAGUCACCAGCAAAUGUCGGGGUUUCAAAACUGAUGAAAUGAAUGCAUCACCUGCAAUUGGCUGUUAGAUCAAGCAGAAUAAAUCCAGCAUAUUUGAAACAAGUCAUCAGAAGAGCAGCUCUAACAGCUCUGUGAGGUUGAACUUGAGCACACGUGUUGCUUUGACCUACAUGCAAACGUCAGCAAGCUAACAUGCCCACAAAGACAAUGUUAACACACUCAUAACUCUGAUAAAUCCACUUCAACAAAUGAAGAUCAACGUUCAGCAAACUGCUUUCUUCAGUUUUUUUUAUUGACACUGUAAUGUUUAGCAGGUAUAAUUUUUACCAUGUUCACCAUUUCAGUUUAGCAUGUUUAGCACUAAACACAAAGUACAGCUGAACCUGAUGGGAGUUUCAUGAAGAACAUGAAUGUCUGUACCAACGUUCACAGCAAUCCAUCCAGGAGACAUUCUCCUCCAAACCAAAAAUUUGACCCUCAUGGUGGUGCUAGAAGAAAGUCAGGUGAUCAUCAAAGUCAUAAGAAAACAUCAUCUGGGCAUCCAAUAGUACUCCAUCCAAUAGUUAUGAAAUAGUUCAGUGUGGAUCAAAGUGGUUGAGCGACUGACUAAGUGAUCUUUAAGAAAUGAGGUGAACUGAAAUUAAGAGUUUAAGAGUGUUAUUCAAUGAUCUCAAUUGGAAAAAACUUAAAUGUUAUUCUGAGGAAGUAAAAAAAAUAGACCUCAUCAGUGGGAAAAGUGAUAUCAGAGGGUUUCCUAUUGGAAAUAUGUCAGUGACUAAGCUGUGGCCUGUCUUUGUGGCUCAGGAGGGUUGGUGAUAUCCAUGAUACCCACCUGCAACAUGUGGUCACGCAACAAAGAAUUAGUAGCAUUAUCUCUGCUGUCACAAGCCAAGUGUAACAGGAGCGAGAGGCCUAGGAGUCAGGCUGAGUGACGCACCCACCACCUGACUUUAAGCACUCCAAGUUUCCACACAGGCACAACUUCUGACACUCCCGUGUCAUGACACGACCAUGUGGUGCAAUGAGACUCUCUGACUCUCUCUCUGGUGAUUGUUCCUCUUAUGCGCCAUCAUUUCUCUCACACAUAUUGUAUAAAGACCCUGCAGAGAGAAAUGAAACGUUGAAGUGAGAGAUUACACAAGGGGGACUUUACUGAACAGCAGAGAAAGUUAGAAAAAUGCUGUGAGUUACAUGAUGCAGAAGAGAAGAUUGUGCAUUUAGUCUAGGAGAACAUGGAUUUAAAGGAUAAGGUUGGCAAUAUUCUAUACUUUUAUUAUUAUUAACUAAUCCCAUGCAAAGACCAAAACUAAUAACUGUUGGUCCAUCUAUCAAUAUUUUCUCUGUCCCAAGCCCAUUCAUUUGUAAUGAGAAUGUAAAUCUUUGGGAGGAGGGAUUGUUUUGUUUUGCCCUAACUAAUCACUAGUGAGUGAAGUGUUCAUCCCACCAACAUCCUUUUCAGUUUACAAACAAUUACUAGUAGUGAUUGCUAGGACAAGUUAACAUGUUUCAUAAUAAUCCAACAAAUAUACUGAUUUAUUUCUGUAAGUUGAUUUGUACAAUUGCAUUGACCCCAUCCAUGCUUGUCAACAUUUUUUUCAUGAAUGUAGCUAGCUGACGUGAUCCCCAUUCUUAACCCUGCCUAGUACACUCUGAUUGAGUGUUGGUUUCUCUAACCAGUGGAAACAACCAUCAGCAGGUACAAUUAGAGCUUUUUGAACUGCUGAAAAAAUCUGGUAUGUGGGCGAUCAUUUGGAGGUCUGGAACGAGGCUACAGUGCUGUGGCUAUAUGUGUUGUUUUUAUCGUUAUGUGGCUCCAGGGAUGGUAAUGUCAGUUAAUUAGUCCACCACUUUGGUUCAGACUGAAAUAUCUCAACAACAAUUGGAUGGAUUUCCUUGAAAUAUUGUACAUACAUUCAUGAUCCCCAGAGGAUGAAUCCUACUGACUACCGAUGCCCUGACCUUAGUGCCAUCAUGUUCAGUUUUGGGUUAAACAUCUUGACAACUAACUAUUGGAUGGAUGACUAUAAAAGUUGGUAUAGUCCAAUACUUUGAUUUGUAACUAUUUGCAAAACUAGCCUCAGCUGUACUUUGUGUUUAGUGCUAAUUAGCAAAUAUAAGCAUACUUCACGCUACUGUAUAUGGCCUUUUCUGUAACUUUCCUAACCGACGAUCCAAUAUUCACACCUACUUCCCACCAUGAUUGGUCAGCUGUGUGGAGGUGAGAAAAGAGAGAGGGUUUUAACUACUCCCUUUAGCUCUGCUUUUUCAUUCUUGACGCAACAUUUUCACAAUUUCUGUCACUUCACGUGAACAACUAAGUGCAACACUAUGAAUGAAGAAGGUAGUGUCUGAAAAUGUGCUCCAGUAUCCCUGUAUUUAAACAAUAUCACGUAUCCUACCGCUCUAUGAUGGCCAACUUUUCACUCCACCUUCGAGUGACGCUGUUCGGAAAACAACAAUCAACACUUAUGAUUUCCAAUGUGGACAGACAACAUGUCCUAUGAACUACUUCUGAUUGAACAUAAACCAACCCUAACUCUGCAUUCAAUAUACAGACACAAACUAGUAGAAAAUAUCUUGCCUCUCAUGAAUCUGUACAUCUGUGGGUGUUGUGUUGAGCACGAUACUUAGAUACUCUGCUCCGAGAGCACAGUUGUUUUCAGAUGUAGCCUUUGUACUACACAUGAGAAAGUACCAUAUUUCCUCAAAUAGUGGCUGGGGCCUUUAUUUACCUCAACUGCAGAGGCUACCAGGCCUUUAAUGCAUACUUAUAUUAGAGAGAGGCCUUUAUUUCUAAUUCCCUCAGUUUGAUAAGUACCGUAUAUUUGCUCAUAUUUUAGUGCAAAGUUGUUUUCUGAUCUGCCUCAGUUUGCUGUGUUUAAUUUUUGUGACUGCAUUACCAGUAAUCCACUUACUCCGACAUGCAGAACAAUAAUUUUAGCGCUUGAGUUCCACCCGGAACGUUUUGGCAGUGCACCACAAAGCUGUAGCAUGCGGGUAGCCUGCUCAUGGAUGUACGCUUGCUGGCUCAGCUAAGUUACCCUGGUUACCCAGGCUCAUGUAGUAUCGCUGCCAUUAUUAUUAUUGAAAUAUGCGCCGUUAGCCCCGUAUUUAAACAAUAUCAUGUCUCCUCCGUCCCCCUCCCCUCUCUGUGACAGUCGGCUAGAGGGCUAUGCAUAUACUCAUAGAACUGGAGUUACAUCUAGGUAACUACUAUUUAUGCUUAACUGGCGUGAACAUUAUAUAACAGGCACCAGGACUUUAUCCACCCUUGUUUUUUCCUCGGCCUGUUUUUGGGGCUGGCCUUUAUUUGUUUCUGUUGACCACGCCCUCAGCCAUUAUCAGAGACCUGGCUUUUAAUUGACUACCAUCUUUUAUUUGAGGAAAUACGGUAGUUAAUUUCCUGUUACAGUUUGUAGAGUAUAGAAUUGCUUUGUUUUUCUUUUUUACCUUCGGGUAUGUGUUGAUGUAACUGUUUUAAUGCAACAAUGAUGUUUGAGCUGGCAAGACUGAUUGGCGAUGUUUGGUCCUGUAUCUAUGCUGGAAGUAAUCAAAAUGAGCAUUAGAGGACAUUUUAAGAGCCAUUUGAGCUUCUCUCUACUUUCCCCUGAAGCAUAGCUGGGCGCCUUUUGAGUCUCUGUAACUCAGCAGGUGGCGCUGGGCUGCAGUGCCAGAUCCCAUUCACAAAGAAUAGCAGCCUAUUGCUGUCCUAGUUUUUGAAUCCUUCUGUCUUAACCGCCUGUAAAUGCAGCCGCACAGAGCUGCUAGAAUGGCCGUUAGUGUUGUUGGACAACAACAUUAAUCACAGAUAGACUUUGGCUACAUGGGCAGUACUUGUUAGUAGGAUCAAUUUACCCAAAUCAUUGUUGUUUUUGGUCUUUUCGUUUGUUGAGAAUGUGGAAAAAAAAGAAAGACACAGAAUAGAUAAGCAUUUAAUUUCCCAACAACUUGAAAGGUGAGGUGACAGUGAACAAGGAAGAGCGUUACAGACUCUGAGUUUGUGACACAGAGAGACUAAUUGAGCACACAGCUGCUGAGUGAACUCAGUAUGAGAGUGUAAUGGAAUGUAAUGGAAUGCUCACACACACGCCAAAGCCUGCUGUACAAUAUUAACAGAGCCCAAAGUGCGUCAUAGCUCUCACAGCUGACUGUGUGUGUGUGUGUGUGUGUGUGUGUGUGUGUGUGUGUGUGUGUGUGUGUGACCAAGUGUGUAUAUUUGUGUUAUGUGCUUCCCUUUAAUCUCUCUCCACUGUAGUGCAAAACUAGUCAUGUGCUGAUGUAUGAGCCUCCAAAUCAAAGUCCUGGGUGGUGUUGCUACCAUGAAAAAACAAUGGCAGCGCUGCAUUAACCAACCAUGUAGGGUACAUGACGUGCUAUCUAUGUGAAAAAUUAGAGCUAUGAAUGGAGUGUGUGACAGUGAAGGCAGUUAAUUGUGGUGAUUUGCGUCCUAGUUAUGAUUAGGAUGAUGAUGACAAUAAACAAUCAAUUUAGAAAACUUAUAUAUACAUUCUAAAGGAUAUGCAUGUGGGACACUACUGCACAUACAGUAACUGCUUCAGCACAUUCACCAUGUGAAUUUUGACAAAGGUAAUAAUGCAGGACCUGCCUUAAAGUAGCAAUUAAUUAGAUUUUGUUUUUCAGUUUUACUGCCUAAUAUUUCUAAUUCAGUUCUCUUCAGAAUCUCUUAGGGAU